rnacentral:misc_RNA from 1 species
AAUUUCUCAAGCUUUGGAUGGCUUUUUGUCUGUCCUUGGACUUGGUUGUUGGGCUCUGCCGUGUCCUUCAUUUGGGACGGCUGGCCUUAAAAGUAUUAGCUGAUCCUCGUGUGGGUACUGGUUCUACUCAGCGUGAUAACAAUCUCUGAUCGUUGAGGACAUCUUCUGGAUGGCCAGUCCUCAUUUGGGUUGCUUCUAAACCGGUUUUCGCAGAUUGCCCGAUCUGCGUGCCACUUUUCAG